GUCUCGGUAGUGUGAGGGAUAGAGCACGGUACCCUGAGAGCACAAGUACGGGUUCGAGUCCCGUCCGAGACU
rfam:Haemonchus contortus, ISE/inbred ISE, WGS project CAVP01000000 data, contig: Hcontortus_28417